CAGAUGGAGAGAGAGUUUUGGGAAGCGCUCUCUCUUGGCUGCUCUCAGUCUCCCGUUCAAGCUGGACUGGCUUUAAAAACGGGAUUCUUGAACAUCACUUUUCUCUUUCUUUCACUUGAGUGGAGUUUCCAGGAAUCCUCUCAGGCAGCCGGAACUCUCCCACCUGUCGCUGCCGAGGAUUCCCUGCGAGCGUUGGCAUCUGCGUCAUCGCUGCUCGAGGAAUUCUGCCGCAUCUGUCGCGGCCGUCAUUUGCCGGCUACAACCGUGAAUGUCCCGCUCCAUUUUAAUGUUGGCAUUUUUGGGCGGGUAGACGAGGGGCCAUGUCAUCCUACUACUCUCGCAGCAAAGACCUGACCCGGACCCGGAGGUCAGUGACCGAGUCGCCUCCCUCAUCUCCAUCGCAGACAGAAAAAAGUUAUCGCCAUGACAGACUGUCAAGAUAUGACUCAGGAGGAGAGAGUCUGACAGACAAGCCGCUGGGCAGGACCAGCUCGUACACGCGAAGAGAGACCAGACUGGCGAGCGGGAACCGAGCGGAGCAAGAGGCCGCCACCAAAGACUACAAGAAGAUGUACGCGGAGGCCUUGCACGAGAACGAGCGGCUCAAGUCCCGGCUGCAGGACAGCAAGCAAGACCUGGCCCGGAUCCGCUCCCAACUGGACCGGGUGACUCAGAGGCAGGAGAGGAUCGCUGAGAGGUCGGGACUCGAAUCAGAGAAGAGGGAGAAACAGGCUCUGGAAAAACGGGUGUCGGGCAUGGAAGAGGAGCUGAAGCCCUCACCCUCUCUGCAGACCUUCCCUGCUCUAUCUCAAGUCCAAGCUCUGCGGAGGAUGAACGAAUGUCUCCUGGCCGAGAACAGAGCCAUGCUGCGCACCCUCGCCCGGCUCUCGGAGACUGAAGACCUCUGACCCCGCCAUCUCCUCCCUCCUGCUUCUCCUCCUCCAGUUAACCCUUCACAGCCCCCUCGUCCUCCGCUGUCUUCCUCUCAGACCCUCGCAGAGCUCAAGUCGGACAACCAGCGGCUGAAGGACGAGAACUGCGCCCUCAUCCGCGUCAUCAGCAAGUUGUCCAAGUGACUCCGAGUCAUGGCGACUUUUCCCUCCGUCAAAUCCAAAGACGAGCGUUUGAAAAACAUCUUUUACUUUCCUUCACACUUGUGCACAAGAGGGCUUUUUAUUUAUUGAAUAAAAAUAAUUCACACACACACAAUUAUUAAUACAAUAAUUUUGCGUGAAAUAUUUCAUAUUCCAUCUCAUCGAAACAGUCACCAUUUAAAGUUCUACUGUAGAGUUGAAGAGUGACGUCACGCGUGGCCACACCAGCCGCGGCUGAGUGUAUUUUCAAGUUGUGUACUACUGAAGCGUUUUGCGUGUUCGGUCUCACGAGACUGUUGCUUUAUUAUCACAUGCAACGUCAUUUGGAGGCUGUUCCGCCAGCGGACUUUGACAUUUAUUAUUACUACAACGCUCCACAAGAGGGCGGCAACGUGCACCUCACAGCGCCUCCUGUUUCAGAGGAUAUAUAUAAUAUAUUUAUGUGUCUUUUCAUGACUCCAAGACGGCGCUUUUCUAUUGAAAUGACUGAGAGUUGCAAUAAAUAUUUCCUUGAUAAUAGUAGCCACUCGUGCUCAUGGAUGUAACGUCACAUUUUUUAACGUUCAGCUAUUGAAGUCCCUUUGAUUCACUUUUCUGAUCGAGAAAACAAUUGAUUUCACCUGAAACCAAGUGUGUAAACGCUGCCGUUGGAAACACAUGAUUGUGAUUUCAGCCCGAAGACGUUGUCGCAUGAAAACACCAAUAAAAGUCAUGGUAAUUAAAAGUCCUUUAUUUCCUAUUUGCAACACAUAUGAUAAACUUGUAAUAAGUUAUUUGGUUCCCUCGUUGACUGAAUAAGGAUCCCCAACGUUUUGUCCACACGAGGGUCAGGAGGAGUUUGUUUGUGUCCAGUCAAGGGCUAAAGCAUGCGAUCCACAGUAGGCACAAGUACUGACAUGAACACGCGCACCACGACACGAGACACGAAGAAGAAGAAGAAGAAGAAGAAGAAGAAACACAGCUGGAGGACACAACCUGACCGUCCUCUGAUGCGUCAAAAGAUGGAGAAAAGGGUGGGAACCAAAGAGUCCGUUGCAUCAGGAGUGAGAGGCGGCUCUGAGUCUGAUCACAGUCCUGCAUGUUUGGCAGUUGACACUCGUGUCCAUGUUGUAAACAUGAAGGCCGGCAUGGAUCGCAGUGGAGACGUUUCCAAGUGAUGGGACGCACAAAACGGGACAGGAAAAAUGCAAAGCAAGAGAACAGUGACUGCGCUCCCACGACAAACACAAAGAAGUAGUGAUAGAGGAGACAAGACAACUCAGGUCCCGCACUUCUGACAGGAUGGUCGAUAAAACAGUUUUCCCUUUUUACAUCCCAGCUACUGUGACAGAGGAAGCUGUGUUGACAAACCGUCGCAGUGCAGUUUACGAUGCAGUUGUGCAUAAGUUAUCUAACAUCGACACACACACACACACACGCAGAUGAACACACGGGGAUGUGUCUCAUACAUGGAGGCCUGAACGAUAUUUAUAUAUAUGGUAUAUAGAUAUAUAUAUAUAUAUAUACAUAUCUAUAAAAGCAGACGAUGGUUUUAAGAGGUCCAACAUUCAACCCAUUCACACACACCAUUGCUGGCGUCUGCCCCCCAUAGAACCGCAGAAAUAAACACAUCUCAAAACGCUGCUCUGAGUCAGAUCCAUGUGACAUAUUCACGCAGUGUUUCAUGAGCUUCUCCUGGAGACGCUCCGUGUGCUUGCUGUGGGAAUGUUGGAAAUGCAUAACGUGGCCCUGGUUAUUGGCAGUAGUGUGUGCAACCAGUUGUUGUUGUUUUUUUU